UACGAGGGGGGCUAGUGUUGUUCGGAAUCACUGGGCGUAAAGGGAGCGUAGGCGGGAGCCUAAGUUGGGUGGUUAAUUCCGGGGCCCAACCCCGGGCGUGCACUCAAAACUGGGUUUCUUGAAUAGGGGAGAGGUCGGUGGAAUUGGAGGUGUAGCGGUGGAAUGCGUAGAGAUCUCCAAGAACACCAGUUGCGAAGGCGGCCGACUGGACCCAUAUUGACGCUGAGGCUCGAAAGCAUGGGGAGCAAACAGG
rnacentral:rRNA from 1 species